GAUGAAGAACGUAGCGAAAUGCGACAAGUAAUGUGAAUUGCAGAAUUCCGUGAAUCAUCGAAUCUUUGAACGCACAUUGCGCCCGCCAGUAUUCUGGCGGGCAUGCCUGUCUGAGCGUCAUUUCAACCCUCAUGCCCCUAGGGCGUGGUGUUGGGGAUCGGCCAAAGCCCGCGAGGGACGGCCGGCCCCUAAAUCUAGUGGCGGACCCGUCGUGGCCUCCUCUGCGAAGUAGUGAUAUUCCGCAUCGGAGAGCGAUGAGCCCCUGCCGUUAAACCCCCAACUUUCCAAGGUUGACCUCAGAUCAGGUAGGAAUACCCGCUGAACUUAAGCAUAUCAAUAAGCGGAGGA
rnacentral:misc_RNA from 1 species